rnacentral:misc_RNA from 1 species
GAACGGCAACGUGACGGUGACGUUGUCGGAAAAUUAGAGUUUGUUUAUCUUUGCUUAUUGUUGUUGGAGAAGAAGGUAUGGUGAGGAAACACGGUUGGCAACUUCCCGCUCACACUCUUCAG